rnacentral:rRNA from 1 species
UAGGGUAUCUUCGGCAAUGGACGAAAGUCUGACCGAGCAACGCCGCGUGAGUGAAGAAGGUUUUCGGAUCGUAAAACUCUGUUGGUAGAGAAGAACGUUGGUGAGAGUGGAAAGCUCAUCAAGUGACGGUAACUACCCAGAAAGGGACGGCUAACUACGUGCCAC